UACGGGGGGGGCAAGCGUUGUUCGGAAUUACUGGGCGUAAAGGGCUCGUAGGCGGCCAACUAAGUCAGACGUGAAAUCCCUCGGCUUAACCGGGGAACUGCGUCUGAUACUGGAUGGCUUGAGUUUGGGAGAGGGAUGCGGAAUUCCAGGUGUAGCGGUGAAAUGCGUAGAUAUCUGGAGGAACACCGGUGGCGAAGGCGGCUAUCGUGGACUGUGAUUGACGCUGAGGCGCGAAAGCGUGGGGAGCAAACGGG
rnacentral:rRNA from 1 species